AUUCUGGCUUGCGGUGACUGCGAAACGUUCGCUAUCCGCGAUACGGAUCACGGA
rnacentral:sRNA from 1 species